GAUGAACGCUGGCGGCGUGCCUAAUACAUGCAAGUCGAGCGAACGGACGAGAAGCUUGCUUCUCUGAUGUUAGCGGCGGACGGGUGAGUAACACGUGGAUAGCCUACCUAUAAGACUGGGAUAACUUCGGGAAACCGGAGCUAAUACCGGAUAAUAUUUUGAACCGCAUGGUUCAAAAGUGAAAGACGGUCUUGCUGUCACUUAUAGAUGGAUCUGCGCUGCAUUAGCUAGUUGGUAAGGUAACGGCUUACCAAGGCAACGAUGCAUAGCCGACCUGAGAGGGUGAUCGGCCACACUGGAACUGAGACACGGUCCAGACUCCUACGGGAGGCAGCAGUAGGGAAUCUUCCGCAAUGGGCGAAAGCCUGACGGAGCAACGCCGCGUGAGUGAUGAAGGUCUUCGGAUCGUAAAACUCUGUUAUUAGGGAAGAACAUAUGUGUAAGUAACUGUGCACAUCUUGACGGUACCUAAUCAGAAAGCCACGGCUAACUACGUG
rnacentral:rRNA from 1 species